rnacentral:rRNA from 1 species
GAUGAACGCUGGCGGCGUGCCUAAUACAUGCAAGUCGAGCGAACGGACGAGAAGCUUGCUUUUCUGAUGUUAGCGGCGGACGGGUGAGUAACACGUGGAUAACCUACCUAUAAGACUGGGAUAACUUCGGGAAACCGGAGCUAAUACCGGAUAAUAUUUUGAACCGCAUGGUUCAAUAGUGAAAGACGGUCUUGCUGUCACUUAUAGAUGGAUCCGCGCUGCAUUAGCUAGUUGGUAAGGUAACGGCUUACCAAGGCAACGAUGCAUAGCCGACCUGAGAGGGUGAUCGGCCACACUGGAACUGAGACACGGUCCAGACUCCUACGGGAGGCAGCAGUAGGGAAUCUUCCGCAAUGGGCGAAAGCCUGACGGAGCAACGCCGCGUGAGUGAUGAAGGUCUUCGGAUCGUAAAACUCUGUUAUUAGGGAAGAACAUAUGUGUAAGUAACUAUGCACGUCUUGACGGUACCUAAUCAGAAAGCCACGGCUAACUACGUG